CCUACGGGCGGCGUUCACCAUCGCGCGUCCCUCGGCCAUGGUCAGAGUCAUCGGUUUUUCCACGUAGACGUCCUUGCCCGCCAUGCAGGCGUAGAUGGAGCAGAGGGCGUGCCAAUGGUCGGGAGUGGCCACGAUCACCGCAUCGACUUCUUUCAACUCCAACAGUUUUCGGAAGUCCUGGCAUUUCUUCCAGUCUUUCCCGGCGGCGACCUGAUCCAUCCGCUUCGAGUUGAGAUCGCUGAGGGCUACGAAUUGAAAGCCCUUCAAUUGCCUGAAAUCGCCCAUCAACUGUCCACCGCGCCGUCCGGGGCCGAUCACGCCGACGCCAAUCGUGUCGUUCGCUCCAAACACGCUCGAUGAAAUCACAAGGGGAGCGGUCAACGCGGCAACGCUCGCGCCGCCUCCCCGCUUGAGAAAGUUUCUACGGGAUACCCCAGUAGUC
rnacentral:rRNA from 1 species